GGCGUCAUAGCUCAGUGGUUAGAGCACUGGUCUUCAUAACCAGGAGUAGUGAGCUCAAUCCUCACUGGAGCCU
rnacentral:tRNA from 1 species